CCUAGGUGCUUUUAGAGAAUAGGGAAUGUGGUGCGAAUCCACAGCAGCCCCCGCUACUGUAAGGAGGACUUUCUCUCAUAACCACUGGCAUAAGCCGGGAAGGGAGAGAUAAGGAUGAAUCCAAGCCAGGAGACCUGCCUAGGGAUU
rnacentral:ncRNA from 1 species